rnacentral:lncRNA from 1 species
AUUGAUCAUCCGGCCGUCCACCUCGUGAGCCGAGAGCAGGUUUUCCAUGACAUGAUGGUGGCGCCUAAUUUUGCUGGUCGUGUGUGCCGGAUAUCGCGAUGUCAGCAGAUCGGCAUGAAAUGCUGUCGAGAAGGGAGAAGGCCACAAACUUCAAACCAGACUAUGAUAUUGAUAUCCAUAUGAAGGUCUUAGCUAUGAGUGGGCAAGAAUCCAGUAUUCUUACAGGCUACAAACUGAAGUGCUGAUACGGUGGUAGGAAAUGAGAUGAUGAUGGGUAUUUUUGGUGCUUCAUUUGCAUGUCCAGUACCAUAGCUCAUAACCUGCUUGCCUCUAGGAAUGUUGCGAACAACGAUUUCACUGGUUAGAUUCCCAAUUAGCUUAAGAAGAUAAACAAUAUACAGACUGAUGGAAUUCUUGGAGCAAAGGACCAGC